AUCCAGUCAGUUUAUCUACAGAAAUAAAAGUUAAAAACAGAAGCAUACAAAAUAAACUUUACAGAAAUGUUAGAUUGGUUUAAUUAACAAUUUAAUUUUUCAAAGCAGAUUAAUGAAUUAUCAGUUAAAUGUUACUGUGUGGAGACUGAUUUAUGUUAAUGCACCUACUAUGUUUAAUAAUUUAAAAAUAAACUCCAGUAUUUAUGAUGAUGACAACUAUGGAUACCAUUCAUGUUAAAUACAUUUUUGAAGACCUUCUUUUAUUACAUUACAUAAUGAACAGACAUUUUAAAUGGUGACGCAGACAUUAUAAUUUUAAGUCAGACACAAUAUAUGCAUAUUAAAAUUCUGUAUACUUUGAUAAAGUAAAAAAUAAAGCUAUAUAAAUUGAUCUUUAGAUUUUUCUGCAAAAGUAGAAUCACACUUUCAUGACACUUCUAACAUAUCCCAUCAAGGCUGCUUAUAGACACAACAUCAGAAAGAUUUUCAUUCCAGUUCACCCACCUUUAGCUUAAAAAAAAAAAAGAUUGCAUUUGCCAACUGAUAUUUUUCCUGUUUUUAAAGUUACAAAUGGGUAACUUCCUAAAGAAAUGUAGGAUGCAAGGACCUGCAUAUCAAGCUGUUAGACACUGAGUUGUCAAAUAAAUAAUACUAACAUUAAAUAAGAGUGGUUGUAUUAUUCAGUACUAGUCAGUGCAAAACACAUGAGCUGAGUGGUUUGAAGAACAAGGCUGGAGGUUUCCCGCUACAGCACCAGACCCCUGGCCAAAGCUCAACUCAGGGGAGUCCCCACAGCCUGUCUAAACAUUUGUUUAAAUGCUCAGCAAGCCGAGCGGAUGGUCACCCUGUUGGAGACGCUGGCCGCAUCUGGCCUCCUCCCUCGAGACGGUGUGGCCUGCUUGUUCGCCCUGUCUGCUCAGACACAGGCUGGGUUGACUGGGGCUUUAGGAGGCCGCGGCCCUUCCCAGCUGGCUCAUGGCGGAAGGCUGGCCGUGCUCCGACGCGUGCAGGGAUGAGGUGCGGCGUGGGUGUGGCCAGUCCUGCUGUGGUCGCCUGGUAUAGGGCUGAGCCGACGGGAGGUUUCAGCUUGCGAGGCUGGACCUCCCUAAAGGGGAAGGGCCUUGUCCAGGGCACCAAGCUAUGUACGUGUGGGAGCUCACAUGUGUACGAUGUGUGCACGUGUUUACAGGUCUGGGAACUCACUUGUGUGUGUACACAUGAAUGUGCACGUGUGCAGGAGGCUGCACGUGUUUGUAGUGAAUGUACGUGUGCGUGUGUGUGCAUGUGUGCAGUAGCUCAUACAUCUCUCUGCUGUGCAUACACGUGUGUGAGAGCAAGCCUGUAGGAGCUUGUACAUGUGCGCUUACCUGUACAUGCAUGUAUCACACGUCCGUGUGUAGGAACUUACGCUGUUCAUGGUAUGUGCAUAUGUAUUGUGUAGGAGCGUGCACACGCGUGUCUGUGGUAUGUGUACAUGUGCAUGUUCUGCAUAUCUGUAGGUCACACAUGCUUUGGUGCAUGUACACGUGUGCGUGUGUAUGCGUGUAGGAGCUCACACUUGUGUACACGUUUGUAUGCAUGCAUGUGUGCAGGAACUUGCACGUUUGUGGUGUGUACAUGUACAUAUGUGAGUGAUCCUGUGUGCAAGCCCCCAUGUGGACAUGGCUAUGAGUGAGCGUGGAGCCAAAAGCCAGGGAACACGCAUGCAGCAGGCCCACUGUGCGUGUCUGAGACGGUCUGUGGCAGGGACUGGGUGUGAAUCAGUGACCGUGUCUCUGACCAACAUGCUGAAUUACAAAUUGAUAAUUUAUUAACCUGUGCAGCAGCAAAUAAGAUUUUUCAAAACUCAACAAAGUGCUCAAAGUUGACAUUACUUGCUUCAAAGUUAGUUUAAGGCAAGUAAAUACUAACUACUGCGAGGUGGAAAAUUGCAUGAAGACCCUGCAACGUCAUUCACUGAGGAUCUUCUCAUCCUUUUCUUUUUUAUCUCGUGCCCCUUGUCUAUUUCAAAUCAUCAGGCACAUUCAUUUAAUAAUUUCCCAAGCAAUUUUUAAAAAGACGUUUGGGAGUGUGUAAAAGUUUAGUGACUUUCACACUAAAACUUGUUGUCAGAGGUACAUGGUGACUAUCUCCACACAGGCAGAGCUGGGACCCAACUUACUAAACCUUCACGUGAGAAUCUUCUAUUUUUAAGGCUGAAGGAUGGCAAUUAACAAUGAAACAUAGAAAGCAGAUGAAAUUGCAACAAAUUGUAAAGAAAAAGUGUAGCAAAUUAUCGUGCCUUAAAUAUGCUGUUCAACUAAUCACUGCCACCAGAAAUACCAAGAAAAGAAGAUGUGUGUGUAGAGAAUAAAAUCAAAUCUGAAAAUUCGCAUUCAUCAGAGAUUGGAACAUUCAGUCAAAACUCUCACCAGAAUCUAAAUGUAAAGUGGCCAAAAUUUCAUAAACUUAAAAAUGAAAGCUUUAAAAACCUAUUUUUAAAAUUAGACAAUAUGUUAAAUAAAUGAAUAAAAGAGAUAUAAACAGCUAUGAAAAUACUUCAGUGCAAAGGCAAUUUUAAGAUUUCUAAAAAAAUACAUUACAAAUAAUUUGUUAACUGAACAUACAGAGAAUCUGCCCCCGCUACAGGUAUUACAUUUAUGCCCAUAUUGGGUUCCUAAAAAGGGCUGUAAAAACGCACACACCAUUGUUUGCGGGGGCAGCGUGGGCAGGGCUGCCAAGCCAGGGCGGCCACACAAGGACCUCAGGGCAGGGUGGCCCUGGGGACGCCUGCGGCUCGCCCCUCGGGACAGAGUGGAGUCUUCCCCAUUCUGUCUGCUCAAGCCAGUUGCUCACUACCCUCAUCUUUGGUGUGAUGUUUAUUUGUCACCUUAUUUUAUCCCAACCACUGUGUUCGCUGUUCUUACCGCUGAUUUACCCUCUAGUUCAAAUAAAUAUUUUAUAGGUAAAAGAUUAUACAAUCAAAUGGUGAAAUCUGAGCUUCCAAAAAUACCUACUGUCGAGCACCUCGGAAACACCCUCUGGGUUUCACUGGCCGGAGCCCCGUUCCACAGCGUGGCGCGGGGCGGGCGUGAGGGCCGGCUCCUCCUCCAGCGUUGGUGGUGCUUUCCUGAAAGGCAGCAGUUUCAGCGUCUGACGUCUGAAUCUCACACUGAAAUGUCUUCUUUAAGGACCAUUAAGGCUAUGUCAAAGAUUAUUUCUAGAAAUAGAAAUGCCAGUACGGAGAGCAACAGGGACUUCCUAUCACAGCAGCCCUGGGGUUGCUAACCCACCCAGAGCAGUGCUGGACAGAUCCUAAGACGGAGAGCCCUGCGUGGGGACAUGGGGAUGAGGGGACGUGGGGACUUGGGGACGGGACAAGGGGACGAGGGGACGAGGGGACGUGGGGACGAGGGGACGAGGUGACGUGGGGACGAGGUGACAGGACAAGGGGACAUGGGGACGAGGGGACGGGACGAGGGGACAUGGGGACGAGGGGACGGGACAUGGGGACGAGGUGACGAGGGGACGUGGGGACGAGGUGACGAGGGGACGUGGGGACGAGGUGACGAGGGGACGUGGGGACGAGGUGACAGGACAAGGGGACAUGGGGACGAGGGGACACUGGGACGAGGGGACAUGGGGACGAGGGGACGGGACGAGGGGACAUGGGGACGAGGUGACGGGACGAGGUGACAGGACAAGGGGA
rnacentral:lncRNA from 1 species